rnacentral:rRNA from 1 species
CAAAAGCGUAUAUUAAAGUUGUUGCAGUUAAAAAGCUCGUAGUUGAACCUUGGGCUUGGCUGGCCGGUCCAUCUUUUUUGAUGCGUACUGGACCCAGCCGAGCCUUUCCUUCUGGCUAGCCUUUUGGCGAACCAGGACUUUUACUUUGAAAAAAUUAGAGUGUUCAAAGCAGGCCUUUGCUCGAAUAUAUUAGCAUGGAAUAAUAGAAUGGGACGUUAUGGUUCUAUUUUGUUGGUUUCUAGGACCAUCGUAAUGAUUAAUAGGGACGGUCGGGGGUAUCAGUAUUCAGUUGUCAGAGGUGAAAUUCUUGGAUUUACUGAAGACUAACUACUGCGAAAGCAUUUACCAAGGACGUUUUCAUUAAU